rnacentral:lncRNA from 13 species
GUUGCUGACAAAUCACAUGGGAAGUCCCUCACCGCUCUUUAUCUGGGCACUCAUUAUUUGAUAUUGAUCUCUUAUGUGUUAAGCGUGCCUUUAUUUAGGCCCUUAAUAAAAAUGAAACCUCAUAAAUAUUUGUUGCAUAAUUUAAGUACAGGACUGAGGCCUACACCCUUUCGACAUGGUAAUUCGAUUAGUUAUGAAUUGUCCUAAUCACACUAGUAUUCAGUCCAUGUUUCUCUGUGCUUGUCCAUGAGGCUAUCUUGAAAUGUUUGUCAAAUACAUUGCUGCAAUCAGAUUCACUACAAAGAGAGAUUCUGUAAUCUACCAGUCUAGAACAAUCUUGUUGAAGCAGGAGAUGAAAUUGACAUGGCGGGACUUUGUACUUCAGGUUCUUGUGCAGGAGUUUAGAAACACCGGUGAGCCUUGAUGGGAGGGUAGGAUUUAAAAAGCAGACAGGAUCAGAAAAAGGAUUGUGAGCUGCUUGGGGUAAGCAUGAGUAAUGGACUAUAGGCAAGAGUAGACAUGCUGGGAAUGGUUAGGAUAAAUUCAACAAUAUUUAUCCAGUGUUUACUAUUGUGAGGUUCUAUGCAGGGAGCUGGCAGAUAGAUAAAUAGCAGGUUGGCUGAGAUGGAUAAAUAGCUAAUAAUUAACUUUGUAAGUACCACUUAAAAGAUAAAAUGUGAUGAGUGUUGCAUAAAAGGAAGGAUAAAGCACCAUAGAACAUUUGUUCUGCAGAGUCAGGGAAAGCUUCACAAUCGAGGUGGCCCCCGAGCUGCUAUGAAGACUGGGCAGUGCUUUGCUGGGGAGUGAUAGAAGGUUUCAGGGUUCAAAACUUUGGUGAUGGAACAGAUCUGUGAAUGGAGGUGUCAAUCUGGAUUAAAGCAUCUAGAGAACUGAAGCUGUGGAGUUUGAUUAGUGGACCAGACAUUUCAAGAAUGCAGUCACGGUGGGUCCUAAUGAAUCAUCAAGGCCACUGUCUUGUUUCACAGAUGUGGCAUCUUGGGCCCCUAGAAGCAAGAUACCUUGCCAAGGCCGCCCAGCUGGUUUGGGACAAAAUAGCAGCUAGAAUUCACUUUCCAGACUUCCAGAUUCAUGACCUCUUUCCUGGACCUGGGCAAAGCCUUGUGGCAUUUUAGAUGGAGCUGGGCUUUAGAGUCACACGCACCUGUGUUUGAUUAGUCACUGACCGGCACUGUGACCUUGGGCUCUGCCUGAACCUCAGGUGGAUCAUCUAUAAAAUGAAGGUAGUAGUAUGACAGUAGCAGUGAGGAUUACAUAAAUAGUGGAAGCAAAUCUCUCACAUACCAGGGGUGCUUACUGAACCUCCUUCCUCUCAUCUCUCCCAGCCACUCCAAAUAGGGAGGAACAGUGAGCACUCUGGUCUAUUGACCACAGGUCCUGGACCCAAGUUACUUAGGUCUUUCACUUCCUUCAGCUCUAACUGGUUUACUGGAAUACUAAGUAAUAAUAAUUGGUAAUGGUUGUUACAACAAUAAUAGCAGUAGCUGGGCACAGUGGCGUAGCCCUGUACUUCCAGCUACUCGGGAGGCCAAGAUGAGAGGAUCGUCUGAGCCCAGGAGUUGGAGACUAACCAGGGCAAAAUAGUGGGACCCAAUCUCUUAUUAAGAAAAGCAAUAGUUAACAAUGAUUGUUUUGUGCAAGGUGCUAUGCUAAGUACCCAUAUUAUCUCAUUAAAUCUUUAUAGAAUUAGAGAUUCUUAUAGUAGGGAUUAUUACUAUGCUCAUAUCAACAGAAGCAGAGAGAAGGCUUAGAGAAGUGAAGUAACUCAUGGGUUUGCAAAGCUAGCCAGCAGCAGAGCUUGGAUAUGAACUUAGAUUUGGCUGGUCCCAGAGCCCCUCUCUUAGUCACUGUAGUUUUCACGACACACAAUAUCUAAAGCUCUGUGGCAAGUCUACUGUAAGCCCACCCAGCCUGCUACCCCAGCCUCCCUGACCUGGAUCUAGAGGAGACUGGCAGGCCUGCCGGGGCCAGCUGCCAGGAAGGACUUGUCUUCAUCACUUCCACAGGGACGGCGACUUGUUAGGAGCAAACAAAACAUGAAGAGAAGGCUUCCCAAGGCGUGCAGCCUCCCUGGUUAGUCAGGCUGGCUGUCGUAAACCCUUCAGCCACAGCAUCAAGGUCGUAAAACAGGAGGGUUGCAAUUUCCUCUCUUCAGCCCUGGCUCUGGCGGCAUCAGGAAUUGAUGGAGGAAGGGGGCACUCCAGCAGGCCUUGACUCCUUGCUCAGCUGGGUCUGGGAUGUUUCACAGGCUGUGCUGUAGUUAGGACUGAAAUGGCAUUUACAUCUCUGGACCCGGAAAUGAUGUCUAAAAGAAAACAACCACCACCACUAACAUGUAGUUCUAUAAUUACAGAGCAUUUAUGCGUGUUGCUGCAUACCUGUAUCUCCUGAUUGCUUCUUAAGUUUCCUGAGCCAAAGUCCGUGAGUCUUUUCAACUCGAAGUAUUAAAGUUUUCAAAAAAAGGCUAAAGUUUUCAAAAAGUUGUCAAAUUAUUUUGGUUCUUUUGCCCUUGUUUGAGCAGAAGAAUGCCAUUCUAAGCAUUAUUUGUCUCAUCUUUAAAAAGAGGUAAUACUGACCUUACCUGAUUUGUAGAUCAGAUGAAAUGGAUGUAAGUUGGUGUUGGAAGCUCUAAAGUCCUGAAACCAUAUAAAAUAAAGGAAACUUGUAGUUAUUUAAAUGCA